ensembl:lncRNA
CCAGACCAGGGGCUAAGAUGAGCAAGAUACCUGGGAAUUAGCUGGCUUAGCUUUGAUUUUUUUCGGUUGACAAAGCUUCUUUCAAACUUGAAGGUGAUUUGACUGUACUGUGUUUUCUUUCUAAGCACACUUUCAUGACCCUAAAAUGCAGCAAAGGUCAAGUCUUUUGUGAAGUUUAACUUAAAUUUUGCUUUCAAAAUAAUAUGUAUUUUGGAUUCGUGAUAUAUUUGGUCCAUGGGCUUUUACAAGAUGAGAAAGUUCUCUCCAGAAUGGAUCUGAGAACAGAUCUAAAAACUUGUGAAUGAGGUUUCAAGCAACAUUCCCAACCCUCUGUGCUUCAUUUCAACUCCAGCUUUGUGUUGGGUCCCACUAAGUGACCAGUGGGACCAGUAGCACCACUAGGCUCAGGAGCAUCAUGGUGUUGGUGGGCAGCAACGUGACUGAACCCUGGGGAAAGGCAGAGGGAAGCACCAUCCUUCUUGGGCUUAUUUGAGGUUAUUUUAUCAACUCUCCUGUUUACCCUGUACUUUUGGUUUGCAUCUCACUUCUUCUAUUGCUGUGUGCGUUUGAGCUGCCUGGAUGCUGGUGAAACCCAGGGGUGAGCCUUUACCUGCAGAUAUUUGGUGGUGAGGUGGAGGACCUGCUAAACAUAGCUGCCUUCUCAGGGCUCCUUGCUCUGCUGUGAUAUUUCGUGUGAUCCCAGUAUAAAUGAUUAUUGAGGAGUGAGCUGAAUAACCCCCCUGAAUGAGAGUGGUGCCUCUUUGCUGCUUUUUUAGUCUCUGCUUCCCCCCAAUUUAACCAUUUCAUGUGUGAUUAGGCAUCAUCAUUCAAUUGUAUGCUUCAAGUCUAUAAAACCUUGUUGCUCCUCCAUCCCAACACCCCUUGAACCUCCUCUCCCCCUAGAAGUCACCCUCUUAACAUUCAUCUUCCACAGAGGUCCAAAUAAUUAUUACCAAGGAAAGAUGGAGCUGGGGAGGGGAGGAACACACCAAAAAAAAGCCCAAACCCAAAAUACGGCUCUCAUUCCUAAAUCUCACUGGAUAGAGUUACACAUCUGGUAGAGGCUUGCUCGUUGUUGCUAUUACUUUUAUUGCGUCUUUAGCAGUGAUGAAGUUCAGAUGGCAGAACCAGUGGGCCCCAAUUUAAUUUCGUCUGGCCUCCCAUAAUGAGCACGAUGUGAUCCCUGGGGAAUGCCGGCUAGGCUGCGGUUCCAGUGGGCAGGCGCCCAUGUGCCGCGGUGAUGGGCAAGAAGCGGUGCAGACAGACAGAUGGACAGGGGGGAAAGGAGAAAUCAAAGCCGGGAUGGUAAUGGGCAGAUGGAGGUCUCUGUGCUGUGUGAGCAUCAAAUACUGCAGUGAGAUGGGUGGAUACAUGGCUUUUCAUGCCAAAGCCCAAUAGCAAGAUCACAAGGUGGGUUUCCACCUUAUUUGGUGGCUGGGGUGUGCGCGUCGUGAUGCUUUCUGAGGUUGCUCUAGCCCUGAUGGCUCUUCUCUGACAAUUUCCAUGACCCUCCGGGUUUCCAGUGGUGAUGUAUAGAAGCUCCCACCUCCUCCCCAAAUGUCUGCAAAUGCAUGUGUCUAAGGGCUAUACAGGAUUCAUUUACGGGCCUCCCGUUGGUGGGAUAUGUGCAUGCAAAAUGAAGGUUGUAUUUGGCUUCUCAUAUUCAGAUCUAUAUUCCAUAUUGUGUUGACCAAGCAAAACAACUCAGCCCCCGUGCUGAAGAAUGUGAUGGACUGAUGACUUUCAGAAACAUACUGUAAAUCAAGGAGGCUAAUAAAUACUUGCUAUUAAUAAAACAGGGCUACUGCCUUUCAAGUUAUUUUCACGUUUUACAACAUCUUAAUUUAAAUGGCAUGAAAAAGGCAAUACUUUGGGGCCUUUCCUCCUCCCCCAGCAUGGCUGUUGCUAAGCUUAACCUCCUCAAAUGCUCAGGCAAGAUGAGUUUUUCCUCAAUGAUAUGGCCUAGAUGGAGCAAUAAGACCCCUGCCCAAGCCCAUGGAGCUGAUGAGGGGCUGGCCCCAGAGACAGGGGCCCCUUGGCAAGAGGUGGCCUCUCUCCAGCUUGUCCCUAUGGGCUGGCAGAAGAGCCCCAGAGCUUGUCCAGAUGAAUGCAUCAGAGCUUGCAGCCAAAAGCUGUACCACCUGCACCAGCCCAUGCUAAACCUUUAAUGCUUCCCAGUUGUGAGCAAAGCUGCUCCAUGUGGUAAGCGCAUGGGAAGAGCAUCCACAGGCUGCUUAACCCUUUCCGUGGGGUUUCUCUGGGUCUGUACCCCAUCCAUCACAAGAGGUUGGGUGAAGAUGCUGGUGGCCAAGGGCCUCCUGUGAAACACACCUGCAGGCAGCAGAAAGUGGGGCUGUGAACUUGCUUCUUGAGCAUCUGUAGCAGAGCUUGUAGCGCCUAUGGGGAUGCCCCAUCACUCUUUAAAUAGCUGUGCCCUUGCAAACCUGGGAUGCUUUGGGAGUUGAGGACGGAGCUCUAAAUAAACCUGUAUUUUCUUCUC